GAUGAACGCUGGCGGCGUGCCUAAUACAUGCAAGUCGAGCGAACAGACGAGGAGCUUGCUCCUCUGACGUUAGCGGCGGACGGGUGAGUAACACGUGGAUAACCUACCUAUAAGACUGGGAUAACUUCGGGAAACCGGAGCUAAUACCGGAUAAUAUAUUGAACCGCAUGGUUCAAUAGUGAAAGACGGUUUUGCUGUCACUUAUAGAUGGAUCCGCGCCGCAUUAGCUAGUUGGUAAGGUAACGGCUUACCAAGGCAACGAUGCGUAGCCGACCGGAGGGGUGAUCGGCCACACUGGAACUGAGACACGGUCCAGACUCCUACGGGAGGCAGCAGUAGGGAAUAUUCCACAAUGGGCGAAAGCCUGACGGAGCAACGCCGCGUGAGUGAUGAAGGUCUUCGGAUCGUAAAACUCUGUUAUUAGGGAAGAACAAAUGUGUAAGUAACUAUGCACGUCUUGACGGUACCUAAUCAGAAAGCAACGGCUAACUACGUG
rnacentral:rRNA from 1 species